GAUGAACGCUGGCGGCGUGCCUAAUACAUGCAAGUCGAGCGAACAGACGAGGAGCUUGCUCCUCUGACGUUAGCGGCGGACGGGUGAGUAACACGUGGAUAACCUACCUAUAAGACUGGGAUAACUUCGGGAAACCGGAGCUAAUACCGGAUAAUAUAUUGAACCGCAUGGUUCAAUAGUGAAAGACGGUUUUGCUGUCACUUAUAGAUGGAUCCGCGCCGCAUUAGCUAGUUGGUAAGGUAACGGCUUACCAAGGCAACAAUGCGUAGCCGACCUGAGAGGGUGAUCGGACACACUGGAACUGAGACACGGUCCAGACUCCUACGGGAGGCAGCAGUAGGGAAUCUUCCGCAAUGGGCGAAAGCCUGACGGAGCAACGCCGCGUGAGUGAUGAAGGUAUUCGGAUCGUAAAACACUGUUAUUAGGGAAGAACAAAUGUGUAAGUAACUAUGCACGUCUUGACGGUAGCUAAUCAGAAAGCCACGGCUAACUACGGG
rnacentral:rRNA from 1 species